CCCUUAGAUGUCCCGGGCCGCACGCGCGCUACACUGAGUGUCUGAGAUACGAGUCUGCCUGGUCCGGCAAGGUCUAGGUAAUCGCUAAAAGACACAUCAUGCUUGGGAUAGAUUAUUGCAAAUAUUAAUCUUGAACGAGGAAUUCCUAGUAAGCGCAAGUCAACAGCUUGCGUUGAUUACGUCCCUGCCCUUUGUACACACCGCCCGUCGCUACUACUGAUUGGAUGUUUAAGCGAGGUUCUCGAACUGCUAGCGACUUAGCUUCGGUGAGGUCGCAGUGUGGGAAGUGAACCGAGCUUUGGUGUCUAGAGGAAGUAAAAGUCGUAACA
rnacentral:rRNA from 1 species